AGUCCCACUGAGGUCAGGUCUGCCGUCCACACCUCGGGGCCCAGGACCCCAGGCAGGGCCCCGGGGCCUGAUGCGCAGCAGGAGGGGGCGGCGGUGGGGGGCUGUGGCUCGGGGCCCAGCUCACAGCCCUCCCUCCUGACCUGCGCCCAGCCCAGCCUCUCUCGCAGACCCUAGGUGGCACCCUACGAGGGGCUGGGAUCUUGGCGCGUUGGGGAGCCCGUCGAGUGACCGACAGAGGCGAGGCUGGACAGAAGCCUGGCCCCGAGGAAGAGUGGGCUUUUCCGGGCCGCCCAUACUGCGGCCUGCCCUGCACCCCUCCCCGGGGGACUCCCGGGACCGUUGGGGCUGCGGAGGCACCAGAGGGGCUGGGACCCGGGCGUCCCUCGAGGCAAAAUGACCUCCACGUGACCUAGGAGGGGCUGAGGUGGCAGCCCAGCGCCCCAGGGCCCAGCACAGCGGAGUCCCUCUGCUUCUCCCUCGGGACAGCAGGCUGGGGCCACCUGUGGGGAGCCGGCCAUCCACGCUGAGGGGACCCCAGGCUGGGUCCCCUCCAGCUGAGGUCCACGGUGCAGAGAGCCGGCUGGGGGGGGGGGGGGCCUAGAGAGUCAGACCGCACCCCCGCUGCCCACCCGCGCCCCACGCCACUCGGGGUCAGCGGACACCGAAGGCCCCCCGCGGUCUGACGGGCAGACACCCACUUCCCCUCCCCGGGCUGAGGCCCCGGUGGUGGCCGGGGGCGGGUGGGGUGGCCCAAGCAUGGCUGUCCUCCGCAUACGCUCAAAGUCCUUUAUUGUACAAUGUCUUCUGUCUGGGGGAGGGGCGCCAAAGGACUAACGGGUACACAGCGAAGUAGAUAAAUAUGCCAAGCUUUUUCUUUUUUCUUUUUAAAUCAGGCAUUUAUAAACAAGAAAGCAUACAUUAAUUACAUAAAAAUAGUUUUCGAUAGUAGAGUAAGUCACCAUGUUGUCAUUAGCAGCAGCAGAGGAGAAAACGCGGACGGCGAUGCAGACGCUCCCGGCAGGUACAAAGGAGGGGGGUCCAGCAGCACCUGCGCCCCUCCCCCCUCCCCCCCGGUAAACCACGGGCAAGAACCCUGCAGAUGACACGGUCACCAAGCCUCUGCUGGUCCCGGCGGCGGGCGGCGUCUGCACCUGCGCCAGCCAGCGGUCCCCACCUCCGUGCGCGCUGGCAGCUGCCUCGGCGUUGGAACGGGGUCGAGCGAAGAAUCCUGGCUAAGAUCUUUCUCACGUAAAUAAAUACCGUAAUUUCAGGAUGGGUAGCCGCCUCUUGUCUACUGGGAAAUCAUUUUUCAAGCUUGGGCAUAAAAAACCUUAUACAAUUUGCAUGAACAGUUGAGAGUAAACGAGAUUAUCUGGAAUAAAUGCAAGUAACUUAUUCUGAUAGUGGCAGAUUCGAUCGCGACUGAAGACAGGUGUCUCGGGGGUAAAAAGACGAGUCAGGAUUUGCUGUACAAGAUGCUGGAAGGCACAGAACUACCCCCCGAAGUUCAGCUUUUGCAUUUCCGUUUUGUGAUUCCCUUGUUCAACCGAGCACCAGAGGGGGUUUCUAAACACUCGAGCACUUAGGAUGUGGACUGCUCUAUAAAUGGGUCUGCAAUAUUUGAAAAGUAAAAACCUCCGUUAACUGGGGAAUAAAAAGAGAAGGGAAGAGUUUUGACAAAGUGCAGUUCUAAAUAUACGUUUAAAUGAACAAACAAAAAGAAAAAAAAAAA